GAUGAACGCUGGCGGCGUGCCUAAUACAUGCAAGUCGAGCGAACGGACGAGAAGCUUGCUUCUCUGAUGUUAGCGGCGGACGGGUGAGUAACACGUGGAUACCCUACCUAUAAGACUGGGAUAACUUCGGGAAACCGGAGCUAAUACCGGAUAAUAUUUUGAACCUCAUGGUUCAAAAGUGAAAGACGGUCUUGCUGUCACUUAUAGAUGGAUCCGCGCUGCAUUAGCUAGUUGGUAAGGUAACGGCUUACCAAGGCAACGAUGCAUAGCCGACCUGAGAGGGUGAUCGGCCACACUGGAACUGAGACACGGUCCAGACUCCUACGGGAGGCAGCAGUAGGGAAUCUUCCGCAAUGGGCGAAAGCCUGACGGAGCAACGCCGCGUGAGUGAAGAAGGUCUUCGGAUCGUAAAACUCUGUUAUUAGGGAAGAACAUAUGUGUAAGAAACUGUGCACAUCUUGACGGUACCUAAUCAAAAAGCAACGGCUAACUACGUG
rnacentral:rRNA from 1 species